rnacentral:rRNA from 1 species
GACGAACGCUGGCGGCGUGCUUAACACAUGCAAGUCGAACGGAAAGGCCCUGCCUUUGUUGGGUGGUCGAGUGGCGAACGGGAGAGUAACACGUGAGUAACCUGCCCUUGACUUUGGGAUAACUUCAGGAAACUGGGGCGAAUAUAGGACAGGAGAUUCUGCUGCUUGGGGGUGGCUGGAAAGUUUCGGCGGUCGGGGAUGGACUUGCGGGUUAUCAGCUGGUUGGUGGGGUUGUGGCCUUACAAGGUUUUGAGGGGUAGCCGGCCUGAGAGGGUGACCGGCCACGUUGGGACUGAGAUAGGGCGCAGACUGCUACGGGAGGCAGCAGUGGGGAGUAUUGCACAAUGGGCGGAAGCCUGAUGCAGCAACGCCGCGUGCGGGAUGACGGCCUUCGGGUUGUAAACCGCUUUCGCCUGUGACGAGGCGUGAGUGACGGUAAUGGGUAAAGAAGCACCGGCUAACUACGUG